UGGGGAAUAUUGCACAAUGGGCGAAAGCCUGAUGCAGCGACGCCGCGUGAACGAUGAAGCCCUUCGGGGUGUAAAGUUCUUUCGACAGGAACGAUAAUGACGGUACCUGGAGAAGAAGCUGCGGCUAACUACGUGCCAGCAGCCGCGGUAAUACGUAGGCAGCGAGCGUUGUUCGGAGUUACUGGGCGUAAAGAGUGCGUAGGCGGCGAGCCAAGUUUGGUGUGAAAUCUCCCGGCUUAACCGGGAGGGUGCGCCGAAAACUGGUUGGCUGGAGUAUGGGAGAGGAAAGCGGAAUUCCUGGUGUAGCGGUGAAAUGCGUAGAUAUCAGGAGGAACACCUGCGGUGUAGACAGCUUUCUGGACCAAAACUGACGCUGAUGCACGAAAGCGUGGGUAGCAAACA
rnacentral:rRNA from 1 species